UUAGAUGUCCGGGGCCGCACGCGCGCUACACUGAAGGAAUCAGCGUGUGCUUACCCCUGUCCGGCAGGAUUGGGUAACCCGUUGAACCUCCUUCGUGAUAGGGAUAGGGGCUUGUAAUUAUUCCCCUUGAACGAGGAAUUCCCAGUAAGCGCGAGUCAUAAGCUCGCGUUGAUUACGUCCCUGCCCUUUGUACACACCGCCCGUCGCUACUACCGAUUGAAUGAUUUAGUGAGGUCUUCGGACUGGUGCUCGGAGCGGCUUUCGGGUCGCGCCGAUGUACCGGAAAGAUGACCAAACUUGAUCAUUUAGAGGAAGUAAAAGUCGUAACAAGGUUUCC
rnacentral:rRNA from 1 species